GUCCCUAGAGCGCAAUGGAUAGCGUAUUGGACUUCUAAUCCAAAGAUCGUGGGUUCGAAUCCUACCUGGGAUG
rnacentral:tRNA from 1 species